rnacentral:sRNA from 1 species
ACUUCUGCCCUACAGGGAAGGAUGAGAAGCUUCGACUAAGGUUCGACUCGAGCGAAGCGAGAGAACGUUGCCGCAGGCAACGGCCCGAAGGGCG